rnacentral:lncRNA from 10 species
UAGGAGGGACCCAGUGGGAGGUAAUUGAAUCAUGGGGGUGGGUCUUUCUCAUGCUGUUCUCACGAUAGUGAAUAAGUCUCACAAGAUCUGAAGGUUAUAUAAAGAGAAGUUCCCUACACCACUUCUGUCUUUGCCUGCUGCCAUCCACGUGAUAUGUGACUUGCUGCUCCUUGCCUUCUGCCAUAAUUGUGAGGCCUCCUCAGCCACACGGAAAUGCUUAUAGGCAUAAGAGACUUGCCUUGUCUCAGAUGAAACUUUGGACUGUGGACUUUUGAGUUAAUGCUGAUAUUAGGACUCUGCUUACCCUUUGUGAAUAAGCCCAGUGAAUCUGCUGAGUGAUGAGAGAGAGAGUGGGCCAGUCACUUCAUUGCUCCAGGUGGUUAUGUUGAAGAUGUAAAUAUUCUCCCUGCUGUGAGUAUUACUGCAGCUGCCCAAAGAUGCUUUAUUUUAAAGAUGUGGAUACAGGAAGAUAAAAGCAUCAGAAACACUGCAUGGGACCUGGAUAGAAAACCUUGGAGAUAGUAAUUGAUGGGCAUCACGUAGCUGGUUGCUGGAGAAACACUGAAGCAGAACUUGUAAUAUCUUCAAAACAAGUGAAGGCCAGGAAUCAGAAAUGCUUCUGAAGGUCAGCUGCCUCUCCAGCCAUCUAUGAAGAGCUAUGGUUCUGAAUCCUGGCUAAUAUCAGAAUCAUCCUGGGAGCUUUUGAAAAUCCUGAUGCUCAAGUCACACUCCAUACUCAGACAAGAAGCUGAGUCUCAGAGAGAGAAAAUGACUCAUCCAAGCAAGGUUUGAGACCUAAGAAAGAAUCAACCUGAAUCAAAUAUAACUAUAGGAGGUGCCUUUUGGACAAUACAGAGGCCAUGCUCAAGGAACACAAAAGGAACUGAAGUUGUGUGGAUUACAAGAGAGUUCGAUGUGUUCUAAAUUCAUUAUGUAGGUAAUGAAUGGGAUCUCGUGAAAAGUGGAACUAAGCCUCUUUGGUAAAGCCUGAAGAGUGGAGUCAAAAGCAAUGAGUAGAAAUCAUUUUACCCAUGCCAUCCACCUACCUAUCUACCCAUACAGACACCCAACAAAUUGUAAAAGAAAAGUAGGCAAUCAGGAUAAUCAGUAGUUUAAUAUGAUUUGGGGGUUCAUUAAAGGCUUUCCUUUAGAAAUCACAUUUAAACUGAGACCUGAAGGAUGGCUUCUGUCGUUAGCCAGAUGAAAAGAGAAGAUAAGCAUUCCAAGCAGAGGGAACAGGAAAGGUGGAAACAAACUGGGCAUAUUCCAGGACGUGGAAGGAAGCAGUAGGUAGCUUAAGUAGCAUGAAGAACACUUACAGAAGAGUUUAGAAUGAAGCAGGAGCCAGACCAUGGAGGUAGGACAUGCUAGAGCAAAUCAAUUUUAGCUGAGUGUGAAUAAUACAGUUCUAUCAUACGGAUCUGCCCUAAAAUGGAUUUGGUUUCUGAUGACCAAGGUUGUGUAAGCAGAAGCUGGAAGACCCUUGAAAAGAGCAUUCAUUCAAGAAAUGAAGCAUGAGAUAGGAUGGAAGGAGGGAAGAAAGACAAGCAUAUGGCAUAUCAGGUCUCUUCCAGUGCUAAAGGCUGCCUAUGAUACUCAUCUGACCUGAUUUCUCCUGCACAGUGUUGCAACUGACGAGUAGCAGACUUGCCCUUGCCUGCAUUUGGGGGGAUGGCUGAGACUUUCCUUACAGAAAGCCCUACUUUCAGCAUGAACACUAACCCAGUUUAUUGGCUCAGGGUGUAGAGAGUUGCCUUGUCACUGGCGAAGUCAGAUGCAGCCAGUACCAGAGCUCUGCACUAGCUGUGAACACUAAGGAAGAAUAGCUGAGUGAGGAAGCAGAGUGCCAGGCAGCACAUCCUUCUUCAGGUGUUUCCUGCCCUGGGCCAGAUCCCAGGCACUGCAGCAAUAUCUCUGCAUGAUCUAGGGCUCCUGGAAAUAGCCCAUUAAGGGCAAAACUCGCUGCCCAGAAAACAUUAGAACAUUAAAAGAGCAGGGUCUCAUCUGAUUGUCUUGGUUUCCUGAGGCUCAUUCAGUCUGUGUCCACUGGUUUCAGUCUGAGUUCUCUGCACUUUGAGGAUGCAGACAGUGAAGUUCUCCCAUGGUUAUAGGGGGAGAGAUCAUAGGAAUGCUAUGGAAAGAGGCCUGAAGUCAGAGCCAGCUAGUGGUUAUUAUUUAUUAAUUGCCUGUGAGGUGCCAGGCGCACAUAUUAGACCAUAUGUGAUUGCAGUGAGCCACCCGGAUCCCCUUCAAGCUGCUGCUGCAGCUGAUGGAAGUCCUAUUGGCAGACAGCCUUCUCUCAUCAGCCCCUUCAGGACUUGCCUCAGUUGCAGAGAGCUGCCUUCCCCAAGAUCACACCCUUCCCUGGGGACUCACAACCAAUGGCUGAUCCAGAAGAAUCCAUAAAGCCCGUAUCAUUUCAGCCCAAUUUAGGACAGCUUUGUUGAGCCAUUAGACCUACAUGCAGCCCAACCUCUCCUUCUACCCACUUCUUCUUUCUUCCCUUUCCUUCCACGGUGUCUGUUCCAAGCACUUGCCUUAAUAAACAUGUAACAGGUUAAACUCUGUCUCGAUGUCUGCUUCAAGGAGAACCCAACCUGUGACAGUGAUAACAGAUAAAAACAAAGGACAUCACUUUUCCCUGCCUUACUUUCCAUUUACCACUAAAAAGGGUCUUGGACUUGCCCACUCAGUUUCUUCUCUUUCUUCACUCUUUGGAGAUGGUCCCUCCACUACCACAGACACAAAAAAGAAGAGUUGGGAAGAGAGAGGGGUGAAAACAUUUGGGGCACUGCAGGCCUAGUGCUAGGUGACUGAAGACUACCUGGAGGGUGCAGGAAGUGACUGUUUCUCCAUCAUGUAUUGUAUUGCUAUAGUGACUUAAAAAACAAGUAGGUGAUUUGUGUUUUUUUGGUUUUUUUUUGUUUUUUUGGUUUUUUUUUUGAGACAGAGUCUCGCUCUGUCACCCAGGCUGGAGUGCAGUGGCGCUAUCUUGGCUCACUGCAAGCUCCACCUCCUGGGUUCAC